UACGUAGGGUGCGAGCGUUGUCCGGAAUUAUUGGGCGUAAAGGGCUCGUAGGCGGUUUGUCGCGUCGGGAGUGAAAACUCAGGGCUCAACCCCGGGCCUGCAGUCGAUACGGGCAGACUAGAGUGCGGUAGGGGAGACUGGAAUUCCUGGUGUAGCGGUGAAAUGCGCAGAUAUCAGGAGGAACACCGGUGGCGAAGGCGGGUCUCUGGGCCGUAACUGACGCUGAGGAGCGAAAGCGUGGGGAGCGAACAGG
rnacentral:rRNA from 1 species